AUGUACAAAUAUUUAUUUUGUUUUUAUACUAUGAUUUUCCUCUGUCAUUGGCCAUUAUUUUUAAUUUGUGGGAGAAAAUGUACAAGACCUUACAUGUACAAGGAAUUACAUUUGAUAUUAAUGUUUUUCCUAGCAUAACAUUCAGUAGACUUUUAAUAGCUACUUAGUAAGUUAAUAUGGUCAAUCAAUUUUUUAUGUUCUAAUCAAAAUUUAUUCUAUUUACUUUGCCUCUAGGAGAGAGGAAGAAAGUGACAUUCUUGGGCAUGGAUCAAUGGCACCACAAAUCCCAUAUUUUGAAUUUCAAUAUUUAUGCCAAUAACUCAAGUAUUUAUUUUUGAUAGUGAAAGCGUGAUUGUAGUUACUUUGAUGAAAGUUUUCAGUGGUAAAUAAUUAAUAUGCAUCAUGUUAUAUUGCAUUUGGUUAUAUGCAAUAAUUAAUACAUAUUUUGUAUAUUCUUACUUUAAAAUAAAUAUGUAUUU
rnacentral:lncRNA from 1 species